ACUCCUACGGGAGGCAGCAGUGGGGAAUCUUAGACAAUGGGGCAACCGUAGCAUCUAGCCAUGCCGCGUGAGUGAUGAAGGCCUUAGGGUCGUAAAGCUCUUUCGCCAGGGAUGAUAAUGACAGUACCUGGUAAAGAAACCCGCCGUACAUCCGUGCCAGCAGCCGCGGUAAUACGGAGGGGUUAGCGUUGUUCGGAAUUACUGGGCGUAAAGCGCGCGUAGCGGAUCAGAAAGUUGGGUGGAAUACC
rnacentral:rRNA from 1 species